rnacentral:rRNA from 1 species
GAUGAACGCUGGCGGCGUGCCUAAUACAUGCAAGUCGAGCGAACAGACGAGGAGCUUGCUCCUCUGACGUUAGCGGCGGACGGGUGAAUAACACGUGGAUAACCUACCUAUAAGACUGGGAUAACUUCGGGAAACCGGAGCUAAUACCGGAUAAUAUAUUGAACCGCAUGGUUCAAUAGUGAAAGACGGUUUUGCUGUCACUUAUAGAUGGAUCCGCGCCGCAUUAGCUAGUUGGUAAGGUAACGGCUUACCAAGGCGACGAUGCGUAGCCGACCUGAGAGGGUGAUCGGCCACACUGGAACUGAGACACGGUCCAGACUCCUACGGGAGGCAGCAGUAGGGAAUCUUCCGCAAUGGGCGAAAGCCUGACGGAGCAACGCCGCGUGAGUGAUGAAGGUCUUCGGAUCGUAAAACUCUGUUAUUAGGGAAGAACAAAUGUGUAAGUAACUAUGCACGUCUUGACGGUACCUAAUCAGAAAGCCACGGCUAACUACGUG